ACACAAGGCGGGAAUUGUUUGUCGAAUUUGCUGAAGACGCAGCACUGACUGCGGUUCACAAUCAUUUGCAGGAACACCUGAAAGAAGAAAUAAAUAAUACAGUUUAAAGUUAAAUAGGGACAGUAACAUUAGCAGGCAGGUGGUUAUGAAGCAGACGAGGGGGGGAAGAGUCGAGGCCACAGGAGAAACGUUACGCUGGUCUACGUGGAGUUUAAUAGGAUUGCUGGUAAGAUCUUGAAAAGGGAAUUUUACGAGACCCUUGACCAACAUAGUACAUGGCUCUUGGACAUUUUCAGAGCCAGAACUGGAGUUGCUGGUCAGCUUUUGAUGAGCCUUCUGAAGCAACAAAGCUAUCAGAGCCAACUGAAACUGACCUUUGGUGCUUCAAGGACUACCCCUUUGGUUUGGAGAUGACUCCUGCUUUCUUUAAGAUGUGUUUGAUGUCCGAUGAUCACCGCUCAAUUCUUUAUGUGCCAGUGGGGAUUUUGAUAGUUGAAGAUGGGACAAGAUGGGUCUCCCUCUUCGAUUGGAAUCGUAAUCGAGGGAAAAUUAGUGAUGGACAAUCUACAUGACCUUCCUGAAAAAGCAAUGUGCCUUCUGUUCGAACUAAUAUAUGCAUUGCACCUGAGUUACCCAAAGUCACUGGAAUACAUUUUUGACUUCAUUCAGCGGAUUCUACUUUCCUUGGGGCAGAAAGACCUGCAACCUAAAACACAAUCGUUGGCAAACCAGCUGUUUGGCUAAAAUCGAGACAUUGCUUGGCGCACUUUUAAUUGCAACACAUUUACAUUAAACAUGGUCUUUUGAAAAUGAGACUUAAAAAUAUGAGCUUAAUGUUUUUUUUUUUAAUGUGAGUGUAAUGUUCUGUAAAAAUGUAAGCUUACAGUUAAACAUGAGCUCAAUAUUUUAAUGUGACUUAAAAAUGCAGCUUGCUGAUAAAAAUAUGAGCUACUGUUUUCUAAAAAUGUGAGCUUAAGUGCUGUUCAAGUGUCUAAAUGUGACUUAAAAAUAUGAGCUUGAUAUUAGUAAUGUUUCUUAAAUUAAUGUAAGUGUAUAAACCAAAUAAAGCUGUUAAUGGAAAAACAA